CCCUUAGAUGUCCUGGGCCGCACGCGCGCUACACUGAGUGAGGGAGAGAGUGUUUUGAUGCUGUGAACCUUUCAAAAGAUUUGCAGUGACCGACGCUGAGAGGCUGCGGUAAUCUCUUGAAACUCACUCGUGUUAGGGCUUGACGAUUGCAAUUAUUUGUCACAAACGAGGAAUUCCUAGUAAACGCAAGUCAUCAACUUGCAUUGAUUACGUCCCUGCCCUUUGUACACACCGCCCGUCGCUCCUACCGAUUGAACGUUGCGGUGAAAUCUGUGGAGGUGCGUGCACAUGACGGUCCUUUCGGACCAGUGCGUGCGCCGAUGUAGAUUGAGCCUUGACGUUUAGAGGAAGGAAAAGUCGUAACA
rnacentral:rRNA from 1 species